UAAUUUGGUGCAGAAUAUGCCGCUGCAAAAAAUCAGAGUUAACCGACGUAAAUAAGCGUCGGUUAUUUUUUUG
rnacentral:sRNA from 1 species